CGUACAGAACCUUCCUUUAAGUGGGGGAUAGCCCGGAGAAAUCCGGAUUAAUACCCCGUAACAUUAUUGAUGUGGCAUCACAUUAUAAUUAUAGAUUUAUCGCUUAGAGAUGGCUGUGCGGCUGAUUAGGUAGUUGGUGUGGGUAAUGGCCCACCAAGCCAGCGAUCAGUAACUGGUGUGAGAGCACGACCAGUCACACGGGCACUGAGACACGGGCCCG
rnacentral:rRNA from 1 species